rnacentral:rRNA from 1 species
CGGAGAUAGCUGGUUCUCCCCGAAAUAGCUUUAGGGCUAGCCUCAAGGUGAGAGAUACGGAGGUAGAGCACUGAAUGUCCUAGGGGGAAUUGCACCUACCGAAGACUAUCAAACUCCGAAUGCCGUCAUCUUAUACUUGGGAGUCAGACUGUGGGGGAUAAGAUUCAUAGUCGAAAGGGCAACAGCCCAGAUCGUCAGCUAAGGUCCCUAAAUGUAAGUUAAGUGGUAAAGGAUGUGGGAUUGCACAGACAACCAGGAUGUUGGCUUAGAAGCA